GGGGAAUAUUGCACAAUGGGGGAAACCCUGAUGCAGCGACGCCGCGUGAGCGAAGAAGGCCUUCGGGUCGUAAAGCUCUGUCCUAAGGGAAGAAACGGACGGUACCUUAGGAGGAAGCCCCGGCUAACUACGUGCCAGCAGCCGCGGUAAUACGUAGGGGGCGAGCGUUAUCCGGAAUUACUGGGCGUAAAGGGUGCGUAGGCGGCCUUUUAAGUCAGAUGUGAAAGGCUACGGCUUAACCGUAGUUAGCAUUUGAAACUAAGAGGCUUGAGUGCAGGAGAGGAGAGUGGAAUUCCUAGUGUAGCGGUGAAAUGCGUAGAUAUUAGGAGGAACACCAGUGGCGAAGGCGACUCUCUGGACUGCAACUGACGCUGAGGCACGAAAGCGUGGGUAGCGAAC
rnacentral:rRNA from 1 species